AUUGAACGCUGGCGGCAGGCCUAACACAUGCAAGUCGAACGAGUGGCGGACGGGUGAGUAAUGUCUGGGAUACUGCCUGAUGGAGGGGGAUAACUACUGGAAACGGUAGCUAAUACCGCAUACCAUCAGAUGUGCCCAGAGGGGAUUAGCUUGUUGGUGGGGUAACGUCUCACCAAGGCGACGCUCCCUAGCUGGUCUGAGCGGAUGACCAGCAACACUGGAACUGAGAAACGGUCCAGAGUCCUACGGGAGGCAGAAGUGGGGAAUAUUGCACAAUGGGCGUAAGACUGAUGCAGCAAGGCCGCGUGGAGGAGGAAGGCCUUCGGGUUGUAAAGUACUUUCAGCGGGGAGGCGUUACCCGCAGAAGAAGCACCGGCUAACUCCGGGCCAGCAGCCGCGGUAAUUC
rnacentral:rRNA from 1 species